rnacentral:lncRNA from 1 species
UAAAAAUGACUUGAGAGUACUUCGCCGUAGUAAUUCCCAUGGAGGAAUUGUCGUGCACUGAGAAACAACCACACUGUCACACCAAUAAUGCCAUACGCUGCAGCUCGAACCACACAACACAACAAUCCUGAAAAGCAUGGUUGAUAACAAUUAUAGGUUGUUUCUAAAUGCAGCCAGCAUCUCUUAUUUAGUGCAUAUAAUGUUUUGUUUACCACAUUGUGCAUAAAGUACCUUUCAAAUAUUUCAUACUAUAUUGCUAAAAGAAUAUCAAGUGCAGAAAUGAAGGGACAGUAUACGUCAAAAUUAGCAGGCCCACUUACAAAAGAAGCUAGAGAAACUAUUAUUCGGAGAAAACAACAACUACAAGAAAAAAGGAGCAAGAGAUGCAGGAAUACACAAGAAACAACCAAUAAAAUAGAAGAAGAUGCUUCACGGAAGAGAAAGGAACAAAUCAAUGAAAUAAGAGAUGUCAAGUGUUCAAGGAGAAAUGGGAAGGACAAUGACCUUCAAAGCAACAUCAUAGAAACAAGCAGCAGCAAUAUGUCCAGAAGUUAUGAUAGCACAAUAUGGAACUUUGGAAAGCCAACAUAUAUAUGCGAACAUUGCAAUGCAAUACUAUGGUGUGAGGAAAGAUUAAAUUCUCAUAAAGGAACCAAAAAACCUUCUUUUGAAAUUUGUUGUAAACAAGGUAAGAUUGACCUACCAAAGAUAGCAUAUCCUCCACCUAAUCUCGCAAGACUAUUAACAGGUGAAGGAAGUGAUGCAACAAACUUCAGAGAAAACAUCAGGUCAUACAACUCAAUGUUCUCAUUCACAUCAAUGGGAGGAGCUGUUGACAAAGAAAUAAACAAAGGCAAAGGACCAUAUGUUUUUAGACUACAUGGAACUACCACCAUAUCAGAAGUCUACUACCUGAAGAAGGUAACAAACCUCGAUUCGCCCAGCUAUACAUCUAUCAGACAGAAAAUGAGGUUCAAAACAGGAUAGAUGCUUCAAGAUGCAAUGAUAGAAAAUCAACGGUGAACACGGCCAUUGUCGAAAAACUACAAAAUAUGCUUGAUGAGAACAACAUCCUCGCGAAAUCUUUCAGAAUGGCAAGAGAUAGAUUCAAAGAAGAAGACUACCAUGAUUACACACUUCGGAUACUUGGGAAAAGGAACAGAACACACAACCUUCCAUUUGCAUCGGAAGUUGCAGCAUUGGUUGUAAGAGAUACAACUGGAGAGAGCAAAGGACGAGACAUCGUUGUCGAGUACAAAAAUAUGGAACCUCACAGAAUAUCAGAAAUCCAUCCAAAAUUCAUGUCGAUGCAAUACCCAAUGUUGUUUCCAUACGGAGAAGACGGCUUCAAGCUUGAAAUACCUUACAAGCGAAGAAAAGAAGGUGAAAAAAGCAGCAAAUAUGUAACUAUGCUGGACUACUAUGCAUACUACCUACAGCAAAGACCUGACCAAGGAAUGUCACUGCUAACGUCUAGACAUCUAUCGCUGCAAUUUUGGGUAGAUGUUUACACAUGCAUUGAGCAAAACAGACUAAACUGGAUCAGGAAUAAUCAAGGGAAGUUAAGAACUGAACUUUAUAGUGGACUGCAAGACGUGAUUGAGCGAGGGGACACCAGAACAGAGCAGGUUGGAAAGAGGAAAAUUGUACCUUCAUCUUUUACAGGAGGCAGAAGAUACAAGGCACAGAACUUGCAAGACGCUUUUGCAAUAUGCCGUUGGGCUGGAUAUCCAGACCUGUUUAUAACAUUCACAUGCAAUGCAAAGUGGCCUGAGAUCCAAUACAUGCUAGAUGAAGCAGGAGGAGGCCUAAAUCCAGCCGACCGGCAAGAUAUUGUUGAUCGAGUAUUCAUGAUAAAACUGAAGGAGUUGAUGAGGGACAUGGUUGUGAAGAAACACUUUGGAGAAACGAUAGCAAGUAAGAUCGGUCGACUACUCAUCGCAACUAAUAGAAUCUAAAUUUUUAAUAUUUUUAGCACACCAUAGCCUUUGUCUAUUUAAUAAAAUGCUUCUGAAAUGUAACAAAACCAAACUAUGUAUUCAAUCAAUGCAGUUAUCUAUGCGAUAGAGUUCCAGAAGAGGGGGCUCCCGCAUGCGCACAUACUGGUAUUCCUCAAAGAGAAUUACAAGUGCAAAGGACCAUCAGAAAUCGACCAAAUAACCAGUGCAGGGAUCCCGGACAAAGAUGUCGAUCCGGACGGAUAUGCAGCUAUUGAGAAUUUCAUGAUGCACGGGCCUUGCGGAGAGGCAAAUACAAAAUCGCCAUGCAUGAUGGAGAACAGAUGUACUAAACACUUCCCAAAAGGAUACAAUGUCGAUACCACAAUCGAUGAGGAUGGCUUUCCAGUAUAUAGAAGGCAAGACGUUGGAAGGAAGAUAAAAAAAGGGUGGCGCAAUGCUCGACAACAGAUUUGUCGUGCCAUACAACAGAAACCUUUUGGUCAAAUUCCAAGCUCACAUAAAUGUCGAGUGGUGCAACAGGUCCAGGUCAAUCAAGUACCUAUUUAAGUACAUCCAUAAAGACGAUGACCAAGUAACAGCCUUACUAAAGGAAAGGGAUGCGGCAAUCGAUUAUGAUGAUAUCAGGAAAUACUUAGAGAUGGGACACAUAUCAACAACGGAAGCAUGCUGGCGGAUAUUCCUGUUUGAUCUUCACCAUAGUGAAAAGCCUUAGGGAUAUUCUAAGGUUCACAAACCAAAAUAGUGAUGAAAGGCCAUUUGGUGGUAUGACAGUUGUGCUAGGAGGCGACUUCAGACAAAUACUUCCAGUGAUAACAAAGGGAAAGAGAGAGCACAUAGUAAAUGCCUCAAUCAAAAGGUCUUACCUAUGGAAGCACUUCGAAAUAUUUAGACUAACUGAAAACAUGCGGCUGAAGUGCCUGUCAAAGAUCCAAUACAAAGGCAAAAUGUGGCUGAAUUUGCAGAAUGGAUAUUACAAAUUAGUGAUGGAAAAUAAACAAACAAUGAUGGAGAUGAUUGGGUAAGAAUACCUAAAGACAUAAUUCUACAUAAAGGAGAAGACCCCAAAGAAGAGAUAGUCAAAAGCACGUACCCAAACUUGCAACAAAAUUAUCGUGACCGUGAAUUUCUCGAAGAAAGAGCAAUACUAUGCUCAAGGAAUGAAAUGGUUGAGAAGAUAAAUGACUACAUAAUGAGCCAAAUACAAGGUGAAGAGGUGACAUACCUAAGCUUGGACACUAUAUGCAAGGCAACAAUGAAGUACAACACAAUGGAGAAUAUGUGUCCAACGGAGUUCCUUAACAAGAUGACCUUCCCAGGAAUUCCAAACCACGAGCUUAAACUGAAGGUAGGUUUGCCGGUGAUGCUCCUACGAAACAUCAAUCAAGCGGCAGGUUUAUGCAAUGGCACAAGAAUGACUAUCACACAGCUGGGAAACAGGUACAUUGAAGCACAAAUAAUCAUAGGAAGACACAUUGGUGACAAGGUAUACAUACCUAAAAUCAUUAUGUCACCAAGUGACUUGAAGUGGCCCUUCGUGCUGAAAAGAAGGCAAUAUCCUCUAUCAGUUUGUUUUGCAAUGACGAUAAAUAAAAGUCAAGGUCAAUCCCUAAACAAGGUGGGCCUAUAUUUGCCUAAGCAAGUCUUCU